rnacentral:rRNA from 1 species
UACAGAGGUGGCAAGCGUUGUUCGGAAUUACUGGGCGUAAAGGGCGCGUAGGCGGCCUUCUAAGUCAGACGUGAAAGCCCCCGGCUUAACCUGGGAACUGCGUCUGAUACUGGAGGGCUUGAGUGCGGGAGAGGGAUGUGGAAUUCCAGGUGUAGCGGUGAAAUGCGUAGAUAUCUGGAGGAACACCGGUGGCGAAGGCGGCAUCCUGGACCGACACUGACGCUGAGGCGCGAAAGCUAGGGUAGCAAACGGG